CGCGUAGGCGGACCUGCAAGUCGGGGGUGAAAGCCCGAGGCUCAACCUCGGAACUGCCUUCGAUACUGCGGGUCUCGAGUCCGGGAGAGGCGAGUGGAAUUCCUAGUGUAGAGGUGAAAUUCGUAGAUAUUAGGAAGAACACCAGUGGCGAAGGCGGCUCACUGGCCCGGUACUGACGCUGAGGUGCGAAAGCGUGGGGAGCAAACA
rnacentral:rRNA from 1 species